rnacentral:rRNA from 1 species
AGAGUUUGAUCCUGGCUCAGGACGAACGCUGGCGGCGUGCCUAAUACAUGCAAGUAGAACGCUGAAGAGAGGAGCUUGCUCUUCUUGGAUGAGUUGCGAACGGGUGAGUAACGCGUAGGUAACCUGCCUUGUAGCGGGGGAUAACUAUUGGAAACGAUAGCUAAUACCGCAUAACAAUGGAUGACCCAUGUCAUUUAUUUGAAAGGGGCAAAUGCUCCACUACAAGAUGGACCUGCGUUGUAUUAGCUAGUAGGUGAGGUAACGGCUCACCUAGGCGACGAUACAUAGCCGACCUGAGAGGGUGAUCGGCCACACUGGGACUGAGACACGGCCCAGACUCCUACGGGAGGCAGCAGUAGGGAAUCUUCGGCAAUGGGGGCAACCCUGACCGAGCAACGCCGCGUGAGUGAAGAAGGUUUUCGGAUCGUAAAGCUCUGUUGUAAGUCAAGAACGAGUGUGAGAGUGGAAAGUUCACACUGUGACGGUAGCUUACCAGAAAGGGACGGCUAACUACGUGCCAGCAGCCGCGGUAAUACGUAGGUCCCGAGCGUUGUCCGGAUUUAUUGGGCGUAAAGCGAGCGCAGGCGGUUUGAUAAGUCUGAAGUUAAAGGCUGUGGCUCAACCAUAGUUCGCUUUGGAAACUGUCGAACUUGAGUGCAGAAGGGGAGAGUGGAAUUCCAUGUGUAGCGGUGAAAUGCGUAGAUAUAUGGAGGAACACCGGUGGCGAAAGCGGCUCUCUGGUCUGUAACUGACGCUGAGGCUCGAAAGCGUGGGGAGCGAACAGGAUUAGAUACCCUGGUAGUCCACGCCGUAAACGAUGAGUGCUAGGUGUUGGAUCCUUUCCGGGAUUCAGUGCCGCAGCUAACGCAUUAAGCACUCCGCCUGGGGAGUACGACCGCAAGGUUGAAACUCAAAGGAAUUGACGGGGGCCCGCACUAGCGGUGGAGCAUGUGGUUUAAUUCGAAGCAACGCGAAGAACCUUACCAGGUCUUGACAUCCCGAUGCUAUUUCUAGAGAUAGAAAGUUACUUCGGUACAUCGGUGACAGGUGGUGCAUGGUUGUCGUCAGCUCGUGUCGUGAGAUGUUGGGUUAAGUCCCGCAACGAGCGCAACCCCUAUUGUUAGUUGCCAUCAUUCGGUUGGGCACUCUAGCGAGACUGCCGGUAAUAAACCGGAGGAAGGUGGGGAUGACGUCAAAUCAUCAUGCCCCUUAUGACCUGGGCUACACACGUGCUACAAUGGUUGGUACAACGAGUUGCGAGUCGGUGACGGCAAGCUAAUCUCUUAAAGCCAAUCUCAGUUCGGAUUGUAGGCUGCAACUCGCCUACAUGAAGUCGGAAUCGCUAGUAAUCGCGGAUCAGCACGCCGCGGUGAAUACGUUCCCGGGCCUUGUACACACCGCCCGUCACACCACGAGAGUUUGUAACACCCGAAGUCGGUGAGGUAACCUUUUGGAGCCAGCCGCCUAAGGUGGGAUAGAUGAUUGGGGUGAAGUCGUAACAAGGUA